CCAACACGGAUAUCCUAGGAGGUCACUCUUCCCUGGGCACUCUCCAGGUAUUACAGAGGAGUAUAGGGCUCUAUCCUGUGUUUUACAGUUCCUUUCCACACCAUUGGACAUCAAACCAGCCUUGAGUCUGCACCUGCAUAUUCCUACAGCUUCUCAGAGUCUUCUGGAAGAUGACUGGGGAGACAAAGCACUCAGGAAGAAGGU